GAUGAACGCUGGCGGCGUGCCUAAUACAUGCCAGUCGAGCGAACAGACGAGGAGCUUGCUCCUCUGACGUUAGCGGCGGACGGGUGAGUAACACGUGGAUAACCUACCUAUAAGACUGGGAUAACUUCGGGAAACCGGAGCUAAUACCGGAUAAUAUAUUGAACCGCAUGGUUCAAUAGUGAAAGACGGUUUUGCUGUCACUUAUAGAUGGAUCCGCGCCGCAUUAGCUAGUUGGUAAAGUAACGGCUUACCAAGGCAACGAUGCGUAGCCGACCUGAGAGGGUGAUCGGCCACACUGGAACUGAGACACGGUCCAGACUCCUACGGGAGGCAGCAGUAGGGAAUCUUCCGCAAUGGGCGAAAGCCUGACGGAGCAACGCCGCGUGAGUGAUGAAGGUCUUCGGAUCGUAAAACUCUGUUAUUAGGGAAGAACAAAUGUGUAAGUAACUAUGCACGUCUUGACGGUACCUAAUCAGAAAGCCACGGCUAACUACGUG
rnacentral:rRNA from 1 species